ensembl:snRNA U1 U1 spliceosomal RNA
AUACUUACCUGGCAGGACAUAGAAUGGCCAGGAAGGUGGCUUUCUGGGAGAAGGAUCGUCCAUUGCACCUGCAGCAUACUGACUUCAGUGAUUUCCCAAAAUUUGGGGACACUCAGCUGUAUAAUUUGUGGUAGUGGGAGACUGCAUUCCAGCUCUGG